UUUAAAUGCCAAAAGAUUCUGGAGGCCAUACCUUGAAGCAGCUAGGCACUGGUGGGGUUAGGCUUGCUGGUUGUCUCACAGCCCGCAUGAGAACAGCUCUCACCCAAGGUGCAGAUGGUGACGCUGUUGGCAGCUGAUUUGCAUAAAAAGGAAAAACCUUCACACCACACCUGGGUGAUAUAUGUGGAAAGUCAGGUUCUCAGUGUGCCCAUCAGGCCUGAACUUUUUAUUCGCCUUGUUAUGUUGCAAAAAUAAAACAGAUGUCAUGGACUUUUGACCCUGAGGGUCAGAGCACUUCAGACGCGGCUGAGACAAUCCAUACACAUUAAGCAGAAAAUUCCAGCUGAAGUGAACUCAGAGAUGUCUACAAAGCAGAACAUUCCCCACUACCUGCAUGAGUAACCAGGAACUUCACUUGAUGCUGUAGCAAGAGAUAGUGUACACUGUGGGUAUCACUACAGUUGGAACUCAAAAUUCUGACCAGUCCUGAUAAAGGAAUUCAGAUAGCUGGAAACCACACAAAAAAAAAAGUGAACGUGUGCAGAACAGAGCUCUAUGGUGUCUAUCUGCAAAAUCAGCAUGCAAACUGGGACUUUAGUGAGAUGUGGUGGGAGAAGAAAAAGAGAAAAGGUUCUUUCAUGUGCAUUUAAGAACAGAAGAAUGAGGUAAAAUAUAGGGUGUUUUGGGGAAAAAAGGUAAGGAUUUUUACCCAUACUGCAAGCAGAAGUGCCAUAAAACUUAUUUAUUUACUUACUUUUUUUUUUUUUUUGACAGAAGUACAAGGUCUAUAAUUUUUACAUAACUGGACAUCCUUUCAUUUUCAAACAACCAUAACUACCUUGCUCUUUCAGUACUUCAACCUUAGACAUGAAAGGCUGUUAGGGCACACACAGUCAAGAGUACAAGAAGUCCCAGUUUAUGUAAGCUGGAAGUGGUGCACCUCUGCAGAGCAGUCCAGAGAAAGCUUAUUUCAUGCUGCGCAGCUACACUAAAAAGGGAAAAUAUUCCUACUGGAGGUGAGCAGAAAUACCAACACAUGCUGUGCACCUAUCAAAUGACUUGAAAACUCCCUCUGCUUCAAAAGCAGCACCUUGGCUAAAGUCAAUGGGAUUUCACUGAUACGUGAGUCAAGAACUUGCAUACAACAUUCCUUGACCCAUUCACAGUAUUCACCAUUCUGCAGUGAUCAGAGACUGUUUUGUCAUAAACAAUGACUGCUCUUCUGUGAAACUGUAAAGGAAGAACUUGGUUUUUUGCCUCCUCUCUGCCCUUCCCCUCAAUGAUGAAAGAAUGCCUGAAGAACAGAAUUUGAAGGGCUGGAUAGCAAGAGGGAGUCUUGUACCAGACUGAACUUCUUUAGACUCUGGUGUACUGGACUGUGUCAUGGAGAUGAAAUCACUGAGGAAAAUUUGGCUGACAUCCUUAGAUAUGAUCUUCUUUAUGCUCUAGAACCUUUAGCUUAAAAUAUUGUUAUUAUUUUUCUCUUUGAUUCUGAAAAAUAAUUAAUCUGAUAAAUAAGCCAUAUUACUUGUCUUCCAAACUGUAAUUAGCUGUGUUCACCAUUCAGUUUGGGGACGCCUGUAAAAAGACUUCUAAAACUAGAUUUUUACAUGAAAAUCCCUUUUAAAUGCAAUUUUUUUAAUAGGGGAACACGGUGAAUGUGUUUUGGAUUGUAUCUCCUGAGGUUGCUUUCUCUUUGUCCCUAGGCUUGCAACUGUAUCUGUUCCUAUUAGAGGAUGUGUUGUCUCAUGAGAUGAAAUGUUUUGAUUCUGUAUCAGGUGAAAAUAAUAAGGAGUGUACCUGUGAGCUACCCUGACCAAGGCUCUUACCAAGAAGAUGAGGAGCAAUGGGCAUAAACUAAAACACCAGAAGUUUCACCUCAGCAUGAGGAAGAUCUUUAUGUUGAGGAUGGCAGAGCACUGGAACACGGAGGUUGUGGAGUCUGGAGAAACUCAAAACCCACCUAGACGCAUUCAUGUGUCACCUGCUUUAAGGGACCCUUCUGUAGCGGGGGGGGGUUGGAUCAGAUGAUCUCCAGAGGUCCCUUCCAACCCAAAUGAUUAUGUGAAUUGUCAAGAACACAAUAUUAUCUAAUUUUUUUUUCCCUCAGAAUAACUAAUUUUGCUUACACUCUUUAAAAAUAGCUGAAUUUAGAAUUUAUGUCUGUAGAAAUAAUAACUCAGCCUAAAAUAAAUAUCAGCAUAAAAAACUCUGGGCUUAGUGCUCUGCAUUGUGAGGCAAAAGUCAAUCCUUCUCCUGGAAUCCUCUCCCAUACUCCCCACACACCUCACUAUCAGAAAAUUUGGUCUGGUUGCAUGAGU